UGCCAGCCGCCGCGGUAAGACGGAGGGUCCUAGCGUUGUUCGGAAUGACUGGGCGUAAAGGGUACGUAGGCGGUUUGGUCAGUUAGAUGUGAAAGCCCGGGGCUCAACCCCGGAAGUGCAUUGGAAACUGGCGAACUUGAGUACGGGAGAGGAAAGUGGAAUUCCGAGUGUAGGGGUGAAAUCCGUAGAUAUUCGGAGGAACACCAGUGGCGAAGGCGGCUUUCUGGACCGAUACUGACGCUGAGACGCGAAAGCGUGGGGAGCAAACAGGAUUAGAUA
rnacentral:rRNA from 1 species